GCGAUGAGCUGAAUUGCAUAAGACGAGAUUGACGCGCCUUUAUGGCAAUGCACUAUGUGGAGUGCUGUCUCUCGCCGCAAUACGCAAAGACGUCCUUCAUAGGACGUCUU
rnacentral:sRNA from 1 species